rnacentral:rRNA from 1 species
CCUACGGGAGGCUGCAGUGAGGAAUAUUGGUCAAUGGGCGCGAGCCUGAACCAGCUAAGUCGCGUGAGGGAAGACGGUCCUAUGGAUUGUAAACAUCUUUUGUCGGGGAGCAAAAGACGCCACGAGUGGCGUUACGAGAGUACCCGAAGAAAAAGCAUCGGCUAACUCCGUGCCAGCAGCCGCGGUAAUACGGGGGAUGCGAGCGUUAUCCGGAUUUAUUGGGUGUAAAGGGUGCGCAGGCGGAAGAUCAAGUCAGCGGUAAAAUUGAGAGGCUCAACCUGUGCGAGCCGUUGAAACUGGUUAUCUUGGGUGGGCGAGAAGGAUGCGGAAUGCGUAGUGUAGCAGUGAAAUGCAUAGAUAUCACGCAGAACUCCGAUUGCGAAGGCAGCAUACCGGCGCUCAACUGACGCUCAUGCACGAAAGUGUGGGUAGCGAACAGGAUUAGAUACCCGAGUAGUC